rnacentral:rRNA from 1 species
GGGGAAUUUUGGACAAUGGGCGAAAGCCUGAUCCAGCCAUUCCACGUGCAGGAUGAAGGCCCUCGGGUUGUAAACUGCUUUUGUACGGAACGAAACGGCUCUGGUUAAUACCUGGGGCUAAUGACGGUACCGUAAGAAUAAGCACCGGCUAACUACGUGCCAGCAGCCGCGGUAAUACGUAGGGUGCGAGCGUUAAUCGGAAUUACUGGGCGUAAAGCGUGCGCAGGCGGUUAUGUAAGACAGGUGUGAAAUCCCCGGGCUUAACCUGGGAACUGCAUUUGUGACUGCAUAGCUAGAGUACGGUAGAGGGGGAUGGAAUUCCGCGUGUAGCAGUGAAAUGCGUAGAUAUGCGGAGGAACACCGAUGGCGAAGGCAAUCCCCUGGACCUGUACUGACGCUCAUGCACGAAAGCGUGGGGAGCAAAC